rnacentral:rRNA from 1 species
GCAGGCUGCAACCCGCCCUGCAUGAAGUCGGAAUUGCUAGUAAUCGCGGAUCAGCAUGCCGCGGUGAAUACGUUCCCGGGCCUUGUACACACCGCCCGUCACACCAUGGGAGCCGGUAAUACCCGAAGUCAGUAGUCCAACCUCGUGAGGACGCUGCCGAAGGUAGGAUUGGUGACUGGGGUGAAGUCGUAACAAGGUAAC